GAUGAACGCUGGCGGCGUGCUUAACACAUGCAAGUCGAACGAUGAAGCCCAGCUUGCUGGGUGGAUUAGUGGCGAACGGGUGAGUAACACGUGAGUAACCUGCCCUUAACUCUGGGAUAAGCCUGGGAAACUGGGUCUAAUACCGGAUAGGAGCGCCUACCGCAUGGUGGGUGUUGGAAAGAUUUAUCGGUUUUGGAUGGACUCGCGGCCUAUCAGCUUGUUGGUGAGGUAAUGGCUCACCAAGGCGACGACGGGUAGCCGGCCUGAGAGGGUGACCGGCCACACUGGGACUGAGACACGGCCCAGACUCCUACGGGAGGCAGCAGUGGGGAAUAUUGCACGAUGGGCGUGAGCCUGAUGCAGCGACGCCGCGUCAGGGAUGACGGCCUUCGGGUUGUACACCUCUUUCAGUAGGGAAGAAGCGAAAGUGACGGUACCUGCAGAAGAAGCACCGGCUAACUACGUG
rnacentral:rRNA from 1 species